AGCAAAUUCCUACCUAGGUGACAUGUUCAGCCAAAACUUGAGCCUGAGAAGACCUGUUUGUCACUGCUCUGGAGGGAAAAAACUAAAACUACUCCAAGAAGUGAAGCUGGUCCAAUCAGCUCCAGCCCAAGUUUAAAGGCCAGGCCUGCAAUUAAAUGAGAGAGAUGUUGCAGCUCCUUCUCAAUGGACAGCACUGAGAGACCACUGCAGAGACCCUGGAUGGUUCCAGGCAGUCCUCAAAGCUCUACAAUAAGAAACAACAGCACACAAGGACUGCCCCAUCAGACAGACCCAAGCAGGGAGGUCAGUCAGCUCCCUGGAGGACUGUGCUUGACAGCAGGUUGGAAUACUUCAUAGGACUGCCAAGGAAAUUGGGUGCUAAAACCCUUCCUAGGACACUGCAUCCCAGGGGAAGACAAGGCAUGUGGGAUUCAUGGUCCUCCCUGAGGUCACAGAUCCUCAGAGAGCAGCUCCAUUAAAGUUGGGGCCUGGCAAAUUAAUCCUCAAGAGAAGUCCAAGACACAACCUCCUUCUUUGUCUGAAAGGCAGGAUCUUAAAAUGCAGGAUGGAUUCCUUUCACACUCAGUGAGUAAGUUACUAGAGAAGAUGGCCAUGAGCAAAAGCUGGGCAAAGGCCUGGGACCAAGGGCUUCAAAGAAGAGCAACCUGCUUGCAGCAGCUUUGGGAAUUAUUCACCAAGAUUCGACUCCAUCCCAGCAAGUCUCCCAUCCCUGCCACCUCCACCAACUGGUUAUGGACCAGCACCAUGACACCAGCCUAAGCAAGAGGCAUCCUAGGAGGAAAACCUGUUGUGAAAAAGUAUUACUACUGUUGUUAAUAAUAGUAUACUAUCAUUCCAAAGACAGAUACAAAUGUAUUUUGGAGAGUGUAAAGUUUAUUUCUCUCUACUAGUGCUGCU